UACGUAGGGACCAAGCGUUGUUCGGAUUUACUGGGCGUAAAGGGCGCGUAGGCGGCAAUUUCAAGUCAUCUGUGAAAUCUCCGAGCUUAACUCGGAACGGUCAGAUGAUACUGCUUUGCUAGAGUGCAGAAGGGGCAACCGGAAUUCUUGGUGUAGCGGUGAAAUGCGUAGAUAUCUGGAGGAAUACCGGUGGCGAAGGCGGCAUCCUGGACCGACAUUGACGCUGAGGAGCGAAAGCCAGGGGAGCAACGGG
rnacentral:rRNA from 1 species